UCUCAUCAGGUGGUGAGACAGGACUCAUGAUGUCUCUGGAGACUUGUAGACGGCAAGGGUGACACCAUUGUUGCGGUGGAUGAGGCACUGACUGGGAGAGGUGGACAGACAGGAAGAAAAAGUAAAACAUAGGCAGCUGUGGUGGUACCUGUUAUCACCCUCCAGCAGAAUGACUGGGUCAAGGCUGCCAGGCUCCAGCAUGGCAACCCUCUCUGCCAAGGCUACCACAGUUCCAGACGACCCACUGUUUGCCUUCCCUCGCACUGACGGCACAAAAGAUAAACAAUUAAGGCAAUGUAGUAGUGUGGGUGGUAUAAACACAAAGAUGAAACCCUCACCUCCAAGGCACAGUCCCUUGUGAUCAGCACACAGCACUCCUGACACCCCUGGGCUGUGCGAUCUGUGGCACGGACAAAAUUCU